CUCUCUUCUCUUCUUCUCUUUUAAUCUCUUUCUCUCUUCUCUUACUCUCUCAAGUUACUGGUUACAGAUCUUAGUUUUCUAACAUGGCAUCAGAGCCAUGAAGAAGAAGAAGAGUAAGAAGAAGAAAAAGAAAAUUCUGCAAGCUUGAGAAGAGGCCAUCUGCAAAUAAAAAAAAAAUAAAAAAGCUGCCCUAAGGAUUGAACAUUCGGGAGAGGCUUGGCUGAAUCAUACUGCUGAUGUGCUGUUUUCUCAUGCGAUUCCCUGUUCCUCUGUUUUAUUAUUGAUAUACUGCUCUCGGCUCCGCUGCUUGAAGAAGGGGAAGAAGAAGAUUUCUGAUUUGCUGAUCGUGGUAAUAGUCAGGACCAUAGGGCUGAAAAGGAGCCUACAAGCUGAUAGUAAACAUAAGAAGAAAUAUUUUAUUAUUUUUCUUUAUGUUGAAUCUAAAUGGUUAAGAGGACUUAAUGUAAAUAUUGACCAAGUAUGAA